UACGGUAGGGUGCAAGCGUUGUCCGGAAUUAUUGGGCGUAAAGAGCUCGUAGGCGGUUUGUCGCGUCUGCCGUGAAAGUCCCGGGGCUCAACUCCGGAUCUGCGGUGGGUACGGGCAGACGUGAGAGGUGAUGUAGGGGAGGACGUGGAAUUCCCGGAUGUAGCAGUGAAAUGACGUAGAGAUCGGGAGGAACAUCAGUUGCGAAGGCGGCUCUCUGGACCAGCACUGACACUGAGGCACGGAAAGCGUGGGGAGCAAACAGGA
rnacentral:rRNA from 1 species